GCAGACCACGUUAGAACCUCGGCUCCUGGAGUAGCAGAACCUCGGCUUCAAUGGGACCCUCAUUUCAUAAAUGAAGAAACUGAGAUUCAAAGAGGGGAACUACCGAAGGUUACAGAGCGAGUUCGUGGGUAAGCAUGGCUUCCCAGAUGACCACCAAGGUGGAAGGGAUGAUGAUGUCCAGGCAGAAGGGAGCUAGGCCGGCCCAGGCUUUUCCUCUAGGCACAGCGGACUCCAGGUUCAGCCUUCCCGGAUGACGAGGUCUUGCUCUGUCACCUAGGCUGGAGUACAGUGGUGCGAUCAUGGUUCACUGCAGCCUUGAGCUCCCUGGGCUCAAGGGAUCCUCCCAUCUUGGACUCCUGAGUAGCUGGGACCACAGGUGUGCACUGCACCACCAUGCCUGACUCAUUUUUGUAUGUUUGUAGAGACGGUUUCACCAUGUUGCCCAGGCUGGUCUUGAACUCCUUGGCUCAAGCAAUCUGUCAGCCUCAGCCUCCCAAAGUGCUGGGAUUACAGGCGUGAGCCAUUGUGCCUGGCAUAUUUAUUGUCUUGAUGGUGGUGAUGCUUCCAUGGGUGUAUGCUAAUACAUUUGUCAGACUAAUCAAAUUACACACUUUGAAUAUGUGCAGAUUAUUAUACAUUAAUCAUAUUAAAUACCUCAAUAAAGCUGUUGAAAAGUAA
rnacentral:lncRNA from 1 species